rnacentral:rRNA from 2 species
AUGCUUACACAUGCAAGUCGAGCGGGGAGAGGUAGCUUGCUACCUGACCUAGCGGCGGACGGGUGAGUAAUGCUUAGGAAUCUGCCUAUUAGUGGGGGACAACAUUCCGAAAGGAAUGCUAAUACCGCAUACGCCCUACGGGGGAAAGCAGGGGAUCUUCGGACCUUGCGCUAAUAGAUGAGCCUAAGUCAGAUUAGCUAGUUGGUGGGGUAAAGGCCUACCAAGGCGACGAUCUGUAGCGGGUCUGAGAGGAUGAUCCGCCACACUGGGACUGAGACACGGCCCAGACUCCUACGGGAGGCAGCAGUGGGGAAUAUUGGACAAUGGGCGAAAGCCUGAUCCAGCCAUGCCGCGUGUGUGAAGAAGGCCUUUUGGUUGUAAAGCACUUUAAGCGAGGAGGAGGCUACUUAGAUUAAUACUCUAGGAUAGUGGACGUUACUCGCAGAAUAAGCACCGGCUAACUCUGUGCCAGCAGCCGCGGUAAUACAGAGGGUGCGAGCGUUAAUCGGAU